CGGCGAACGGGUGAGUAACACGUGGGUAAUCAACCCUCGGUACUGGGAUAGCCCGGGGAAACCCGGAUUAAUACCGGAUGGCCCUUUGGAUCCUCGGAUCUGAAGGAAAAGGUAGCUUCGGCCUCCGACCGAGGACGAGCCCGCGGCGGAUUAGCUUGUUGGUGAGGUAACGGCUCACCAAGGCGACGAUCCGUAGCUGGUCUGAGAGGACGAUCAGCCACACUGGGACUGAGACACGGCCCAG
rnacentral:rRNA from 1 species